AUAGACGCAUGAACAAGCACCAGAAAGAUGAUCUACCGAGCCUCUAUUAUUGAAAUGGAAUUAUUCGCUGAACACGGGUGUGUCCUUAAUGGUGAUCCAGAGACACUUCGUUCAGUGUAAAAACCAGGCUGAUUCGGUGGAGGCAAGGUAACAUCACUGCUCAACAUUAGAACCACAGAUGACAUGCUUGGUCUAUCUUCAGGAACUCUUUGCACACAUAACAGCGCCACAUGAAGACACCUUAACACUUCUGAUAUGGUGCACGAAUCAUGUAAUGUCUUAUCAGUCAGUUCCGAAGCUUUAUCUUCAAUCCAUAGUAUCCAUGCCUUCAAAAAUUAAAACAUAUACGAUAUGUUAUUAUGGUCACAUGUCAUUGAAUUGAAGGAGGUGCUUAGAAGAUUGCAUCGCCUAAUUCACUAGUUUCUUUAAAGUAAAAUGAUAGUACUUUAAUGCUUUAUACUAACAUGUCCAAGAAGGUUAAGGUGGUGAUCUGGAUGAGAAAAUCCCCUAUUCUUCUUCCUACUCAACAUCUCCAGCAGUAUAACUCCAAAGCUAAACACAUCAGAUUUCAUCGAGAAAAUUCCAUCUACUGCAUAUUCGGGAGACAUGUAACCACUGCACAAUCAAAUUGCAGUGAGUAAGAAUUUCGACAAAAACAAUACAAUGUAAAUUGUAAACCAUACAACAGGUAUACUUACUAUGUUCCAACUACUCUAUUUGUAUUACCCCGACUUUGAUCACUUCCAAAUGUUUUAGCGAGGCCGAAGUCUGAAAUCUUAGGGUUCAUACUAUUAUCAAGCAGGAUAUUGCUAGCUUUCAAAUCUCUAUGGAUAAUCCUUAAUCUAGAGUCCUGGUGAAGAUAAAGAAGCCCUCUAGCAAUUCCACCAAUGAUGUGAAAGCACGUAGGCCAGUCGAGCAAUUUUUGUCCUUGUUGAUCUGAAGAAAACUUGAGACUGUUAACUCAAUGCAACAUUGAAUCCUUGUAUAUAUAAGAUUAAAGGUGAAGCAUGGUAUGACUUAAAAGCCAUAUGGUUGGCAUCAGAGAGCACCAUACCAAAAAUAAAGAAGUCCAAGCUUUUGUUGGGCAUGAAUUCAUAUAUCAAGAUUUUUUCCUCUUCUUGAACGCAACAACCCAAGAGCUUUACAAGAUUGCGAUGUUGAAGUCUUGCUAUCAGUAUAACUUCAUUUUUGAACUCUAUCAUUCCUUGCCCGGAAUUCUUCGAAAGCCUUUUUACUGCAAUUUCUUUCCCUCCGAUCAAUGUACCCUAUGGAUCAUCAUUUAUAAAACUCUUAAAACUUGUAUCACAGAUUAGCUCACUUUAGUUGCAUAAAUUUAUGUUACCUUGUACACAGGUCCAAAACCACCUUCUCCCAGCUUGUUGCUGCUUGAAAAGUCAUUGGUGGCUUUAGCUACGGUUCUCAAAUCAAAUAGCGGUAACUCCACGUCUUCCCUGUCUUCUCCAAGGUAAUCUUUUGUGCAAUCUAUGCUUCUAACUCCUGAAAUGACAGGGAGAUCUCCUCAGCAUGGAUAAAUAGAUGUGUAAGAAUUAUAUUGGUUAAUCAAUUGGUCAAAUCACAAUAUGCCAUGUGUUCCAAUUUAAUUGGUUAAACGCGAAACCGUAAGCCAAAUCUUGGAACACAAGAAAAUCACACACUAUCGAAAUAAUCUAAUGCAAAUUUCAUAGUAGAGAUACUUUGGUUUUAUUUUUUGUGCCUGAAUUUUACAAUCAUGUAUUUGAAAGAAUCCAGGUCCGCGUUUGAGAUAUUUACCUUGAUUUCUGAGUUUCUUCUUCCGUAUAUACAAUAACAAUCCAAUUAGUAACGUUCCCCCAAGCAAAACUGCAGAGCUGAUGAGAAUUCCAGGGAGCUUUUUCUUGAUGAACUUACUCUUUCGCUCAAUAUAAUCUGAAAGAUUACAAUUAAAAUAAAACUUUCAUGCAAUUCGGUAAGCAAUCUCGCAUUUUGCAGUAAUUGUGAAUCUAACACCAACUUAUGUUAGCCAUUAUUUGCAUAACUGCAGACGAAGCAGCAAGGCCAACCGAGGAAAUAACCACCAUUUGUGGACCUAGAUCUAGGUAAAGCUCAAUACUUUUAACUAUGCUGCUUCUAACUGCUGCCCCCAUCAAAACCCCAUCCAAAAGAAAAACAUAAAAAGUUGACAAAAACUCAUUUUCCCUUAACCUUUAAAUAUAUUGUGACAAUGUUAUCCAGUUUGGCUAGAAAAUCAAAAACAAGAUCAAAUAAAAGUCUAAGAGCUACCAAGUUCUGAAGCUGCCAUCCGUACAUAGAGGUCUUGACUACCACCGGAAGUGAAUUGUCUUAUGUCAGUGAGGUUACCAAACCAAAGCAAACAGCCAGUUCCUCCCUCCCUGAUAUCUAAAUUUGCAUAUGCCGUACAUGAGCAAUUUUCCAAACAUAAUCCCUCACAUUCCUUGAGGCUCAUGCUCUUAUCAAACCAUGAGGAAGAUGUCUCUGGCAAUUUAACCCCAGUGUACUUUAGGAAGCCAUCUCCGUAGCUGCAAGCCAAUGGAAUCUUUCGAACACACCCGUCAGACCAAUAUCCCGAAUUCCAAUCUUUUGGAGAUUUUGGUACAAAGCCCUUCAAGCAUGCACACAAGGGAGAGACAUUGACAUCGCAACUAGUAUAUGCACCACACAAGGCAUAAUUUUCACACCGAUCUGCUUCCAAUGCAGAGGAAAGUUCCCAACUACGUGUUUGGUGCACCCAUGUAUAUCGCUGCGCAAUGCCUGAUGGAUUCAAUAUAUCUCUUGAGAACAUGGACCUCUUUAAGAGCCUGUACUUAUAAUAGAUCUCAUCCUUGUUCAACACAAAUUCAUUCUCCGAUGUUGGGUUUGCUCGUGUUUGUGGAGGACGUGGAUAUGCUGUAAAAUAAAGGCCGUUCCAUGAGCCUGCUGAAGCCACUAUCUUAGCUCCUUUCAUAAUAUCAACUUGUGGGAAACCACGACGAUCCAUCCGUAAUGAAAACUCUCCUGGAGCAGGAUCGUCUCUGCUCCUACAAGACGAGACGUACCUCUCUAAACCAGUAACUAAGUCCCAACCAAGCUUCAUUUCUGGUAGUAAUGUGUCACAAGGAUAAUCAAAACUCUGCCACAACAAGUUAACAGGGUUGGUUUCAUUUCCAUCUUUCACAACAAGAUUUCCUGAAUCCAAGAGUUGUGAUACUGGAUUCCCUGCAGUUGUUGAUGAAUUUGAUGACCAUAUAAUCCUGUUUGUGCUAUUGAGAAGGACUAGAAGUCCUUGCUCAGUGACCUUCAAAACUCCUGAAGAAUCGCCAAGUGGUGUUUCUCUGUUGGCUACCCAUACAACUGUCUCAGUAUGAACAGAUUACCAUAUUCCUAAGUAUCGACCUUUUGAUGUACCAGGGCUAAAGAAUCCCAGUUGAAAGCUUCCACCUGCUGAAACUAGAGUUUCACCGUCUCUCAUAGAUCGACUUGGAGUGAUUGUGUCUGGUGUGGAAGCUGAGAUACUUAGGAAAGAGAACAAGAAGGAGCACACAAAAAGGCUUUUCAUGGCUUGCAUUGAUAUUCUGAGACUAAAUAUUUUGAUACCCAAAAAAAUUAGCACAUAAAUUAGGCAGAGAAGAUGGAAGAGCUAAAAACUAAAAGUAAAAGACAUGUUUCUAUACUGAUAAUAACUAUGCUUAUGUCAAUUUCUCUGGGUUUGAAAAGUUGGCCUCUUUGAAAGGUCGUCAUUGACUAUGGACCAUUAGGACCGUUAGGAAAAUAACAAGACAUGUUUCAGAAGUUGCCGUAUGCCUUCUAUUGAGAAGGACUCGAAGUCGUGUGGUUGAUUCCCCAAAACUAUAGGAUAAAUUAUAGAUAAAAUAAAUAAAUAAAUAAAACUAGACACAAUCACUCCACGUGGAAUGACAUGGAAUCAAAAGUACUGAAAAACGAAGAUGUAGUAGGAAGCUUCUCCCUACAAAUUAUAAGAUGCAAAAGCCAUUAAAACAAUAAAAUAGCAUGCUUUCAAAGCUACCCAUCAACGCCUUUCACCUCACCUGAACCUUAGGUUCACGGUAACCCCGCCUAUUUACGACAUGCCUGUCACUUGUUCAACUAAAUUCCCGAACCAAAUCGGCGUGCAUAGACCGUGUUAAUAUUAGCCCACACACGACAUGAAUGCAUAAAGCUUUUACUUCUAUCGGUUCGGUUGCAAGUGAUAACUUAUGGAACAACCAUUUGGGGCUGCCAUUUGAAUUCAACAAACAUGAAAUUACAUGUCUCUCACAUUUUUAACAAUUCAUACCUUUUCUGCUUGUUGGUUGACAGUUUUGAACACUUCUAUAUAUACCUUGGGGAGUAAGAACAUAAUUAAGUUUUUUUUUUUUGGGGGAAAGAGAUUGUAUUUAACAAAUAUCAUAAAAUGUGUACAAUGUCAAUGGAUAACCAGAAUAGUUAAUCCACAACCCAAAAGUAACGAUCAGGAACAGAAGUAGAAUCUUAAAUUUUGUUAAAUAAUUAAGUUAAAUACAUGGCAAAGCAUACCCCUUAAAUUUUCUUCAACCCAAAAACAACCCCAAAUCCUUUCUUUAUUGUGCAGUUGAAACUGUUCCAAGCAAAACUUAUUAUUCAGUCACAUCUUUCUUGCAUAAUAUUAAUAAUCUCAUGUCAUUGUUUUCCAACUAAGGCUGUAGACAACCUGCCCUAUACAAUUUUGUGAUGGUAGACAGAAGCAUGAACAAGCACCAGAAUGAUGAUCUACCGAGCCUCUAUUAUUGUAAUGGAAGUAUUCGCUGAACACCGGCAUGCACUUAAGGGGGAUUCAGGGACACUUCGCUCGGUGUAAAAACCAGGCUGCUUUGGUGGAGGCAAGGUAACAUCACUGCUCAACAUUAGAACCACAGAUGACAUGCUUGGUCUAUCUUCAGG
rnacentral:lncRNA from 1 species